rnacentral:rRNA from 1 species
GUGCCAGCCGCUGCGGUAAUACGGAGGGUGCAAGCGUUAAUCGGAAUUACUGGGCGUAAAGCGCACGCAGGCGGUCUGACAAGUCGGAUGUGAAAUCCCCGGGCUCAACCCGGGAACUGCAUUCGAAACUGUCAGGCUGGAGUCUUGUAGGGGGGGGUAGAAUUCCAGGUGUAGCGGUGAAAUGCGUAGAGAUCUGGAGGAAUACCGGUGGCGAAGGCGGCCCCCUGGACAAAGACUGACGCUCAGGUGCGAAAGCGUGGGGAGCAAACAGGAUUAGAUACCCUGGUAGUCCACGCUGUAAACGAUGUCGACUUGGAGGUUGUGCCCUUGAGGCGUGGCUUCGGAGCUAACGCGUUAAGUCGACCGCCUGGGGAUACGGCCGCAAGGUUAAACUCAAAUGAAUUGACGGGGCCGCACAAGCGGUGGAGCAUGUGGUUUAAUUCGAUG